rnacentral:rRNA from 1 species
AUGUUGCGCACUAACCUCUUUAACCACCGAGGAGCUUGUGGGCUGGCCUUCCUGUGGAGACCUGCGAGGGCGGCGACGAGUUCUUCCUUCUGCCAACCACACCACGCUCGAGCAGAUCUGUGCGUCUGCACUCGCGGCCAGCGCCGGCACCUGAUCCACGCCAACAACCGUCAAGAAAACUGUGAGAUCUCUUCCAAGGGCCUCACAAAUGGUAUUCAGAGCCUAGAUCGCGUCCGUCUGCGCUCUCAAUCUCUUUGGGCUGUAAAAUUCCACCGCGAAGGGUGCGAAAAUUUGUGGAACAAAUUUUCGCCCAAAAUCCCGAGCGGGGUUAGCCCGAUUUUGGAGCAAGCCGCAACGGCGCCGUCGAAGCAGCCGCUACCGUCCGCGCAGACCAAACUCGUCCUCGCUGCUAUGGGGGAAAAUUCCGAGAGUAUUCAGUCGACGUUGGCUACCUUACUGACCAAGUUCGAGGCCAUGGAUCUCAGGAUUUCGAACUUGGGCAAGCAAAUCGAGGCGACGCAAGAGAACGUCGACGCGAUUCGUCAUCGUCAGGCGGAGGCAGGCGCUACUCCGACAGGAUCAGGUGUCACGGAGCAGGGCGCGACCUCCACCACUCGCCCCGUUCCGCGGCUCGCUAAUCUGCAGCCGCCGUUGCUGGGGACACCGGCAGAGCAUCAGGAAGGGCAGGUAUUCACCACAGCACCUCCCUCGCCUGUGGAGCAAGUACCAGGUCGGGAUCCACCUCCAGAAAUGCGUCAACAAGUCAGGCCAGGGCGGGAGCAUGUUCCAGAACCUCGUCGGGAGUUUGCAGCGGCUCGCGAUCAGGAAUCCUCCGUCAAGCCACCCAAGCAUCACUUUCCCCGAUUUGCGGGUGAGAAUCCGAGGUUGUGGUUGGAUCAGGCACUGACCUAUUUCAACAUGUAUCGCGUGCCUGAACAUCACUGGGUCUCGACAGCAACAUUAUAUCUGGAAGGGCAUGCGGCAUUGUGGUGGCAGGCGUUCAAACAGCGUCGUCGUUUGUGGCCCUGGGAUGAUUUUGCAACGGAGAUUGCACUGGAGUUUGGCCAAGGGGAGUAUGAAUCACACAUGACCAGAAUUUUGCAACUCAAACAGCUGGGUACAGUUACUGAAUACAAGACUGAGUUUGAGUCUGCAAUGUAUAACUUGAUCGCAUGGGACCCUUCCUUGAACUCGAAAUUCUUCAUUUCUCAGUUCGUGUUGGGUCUCAAGGAUGACAUUCGAGCAGCAGUGCGCUUGCAGUCUCCCACCAGUGUAACUCGUGCUGUCUGUUUGGCAAAAAUCCAGGAAGAGGAGCUCGAUCUGCAACGUCCUAGACAACGGUUCCAGAGACAUACACCAAUACAGACCGUGCCUUCUGUAAUCCAACCUGUUCAGCAAGCAGGCAAGAAAGCAACAGAUGAUUUUGGUCGUGAGAGACAGCUACGAGAUUUCAAAAAAGCAAAUGGUCUAUGCUUCAGGUGUGGAGAUGAGUACAGCAAGGAACAUCAAUUGCAAGCUUUGGAAUUACUAACUGAACCCACCACAUCGGAGUGCUGUCAGAUUUCAGCCCAUGCUGUUUCAGGAGCCGACAAUACAGAAACCAUCCGCAUAAGAGCAUUGGUGGGCAACCAAGUCAUGUUAGCACUCGUGGACUCGGGCAGUAGUCAUAGUUUCGUGGAUGAAAAAUUUGCCAAGCGUGCUUCGUUGGAUUUGGUCGCUGUUCCAGCAGUGAAAGUUACAGUUGCAAAUGGUGUGCAGCCUGUUUCUACUAUGCAAUUGCAAGCUAUGUCAGUAGAGCAAUUGGACAAAGCUCUGCUUGGCAAUGAUAUUUGGGCUAUGGCCGUGGUUGAUCCUUCUUCAGGUGAUGUUGUUUCCACGCCUGGCUCCUAUCCAGAAGAUCUGACUGCAGUUUUAACAGACUUUCAAGAUGUGUUUGAAACUCCAAGUGGCCUGUCUCCACAUAGAGUAUAUGAUCAUGCAAUCACGUUGGAAGUGGGUCAUAACCCUCCAAACUCUCUGUUUGCAGACUUGCCUGAGCCACCAGAUUUGUCGGCUGUUACAUUGCAGCCUGAGGCGAUUCUUGAACGACGGAUGGUAAAGAAAGAAAACUGUGAGAUCUCUUCCAAGGGCCUCACACUUCAUUACCGGCUGAUUAGCUGCCGUAGGAAUCCCAUCCCCAUCAAUGGCGUCGUCUUCUUCAGGCGCCUGCCCUUCGAGGAACAGGAACCUUAUCUUAUCUGCUCUGCUCUAUCGCAAUGA